UUUUUUUUUUUUUUUGAGACAGAGUCUCACUCUGUAGCCCAGGCUGGAGUGCAGUGGCGUGAUCUUGGCUUACUGCAAGCUCCGCCUCCCGGGUUCACGCCAUUCUCCUGCCUCAACCUCCCAAGUAGUUGGGACUACAGGCGCCCGCCACCACGCCCGCCUGAUUUUUUGUAUUUUUAGAAGAGAUGGGGUUUCACCGUGUUAGCCAGGAUGGUCUCGAUAUCCUGACCUCGUGAUCCGCCCGCCUCGGCCUCCCAAAGUGCUGGGAUUACAGGCGUGAGCCACCGUGCCUGGCCAAUUUUUGUAUUUUUAAUAGAGACAGGGUUUUGCCAUGUUGGCCAGGCUGGUCUCGAACUCCCAACCUCAGGUGAUCCCUCUGCCUUUGUCUCCCAAAGCUCUGGGAUUACAGGCAUGAGCCACUGUGCAUGGCAUCCUUUCUCAGUUCCCUUCGGCAAAAAGUUGUCAUGAGGGUAACAGUACUUGGCACUCAGUCAGCGCUCCAUCACCUUUUUUUUUUUUUUUUGAGAUGGAGUCUCAGUCUGUCACCAGGCUGGAGUGCAGUGGCACGAUCAUGGCUCACUGCAAUCUCUGCCUCCCGGAUUCAAGCAAUUCUCCUGCCUCAGCCUCUGGAGUAGCUGGGACUACAGGUGCGCACCACCAUGCCCAGCUAACUUUUGUAUUUUUAGUAGAGAUGGGGUUUUACCAUGUUGGCCAGACUGGUCUCGAACCCCUGACCUCGUGAUCCGCCCACCUCAGCCUCCCAAAGUGCUGGGAUUACAGGUGUGAACCACUGCGCCUGGCCUCCAUCACCUUUUAGUCAUCACUGAUACUAAGACUAAGGACAAACUGAGUCCCAGAGAGGCUGAGGCCUUGCUCCAAGUCCCACAGCAAAGCUGCUAAGUAGUGAGCCUAGGGCAGCCAGUUCAUGGUGCCCAGGCACUGGAGGCCUGGGGCUAUGCACCGUGUGCUCAAGAGGGUGGGUGUGGGAGAGGCCAGGUAUAGCCCACACACCUUUCUUCAGUUUCUCCAUUUACCAAAUGAAGACAAUGGUCCAUGUCCACCCCCCACCCUGGGGCAAACAUUGUUGCCUGCUCAGGUGGGAAAGCAGUUAUUUUCGUGUUUAGGGGCCCUCCAGGUGGCCCUGGACCCUUUCAGAAGCAGCAGUAGCAGGAGCCUACCCCUAUCAUAUUCCUCUUCUCAAAUUGCUCUGUGCAGAGCACCAGGAGGCCUUGGGAAACACACACGCACACACGCACGCAUGUCCCCCUUUCUGGUUCCCAUGAAACACAUCUCCACUGGCACAGUCGGCCGAGGAUGCAUGGCUCCAUCCCUGGGUCUGCCUUCCUAAGGGAACCCGCCAGGGAAAGGGACAUGGCUCACCCUCAUGGGUGGGAGGCUCGAGGAAGCUGCUUGAGAGCCUAAAGCUUUUCCUUUGCUGACUGGUUCUGGAGUGAGGGCAGCAUGCUUGCUGGGCAAUGAACGAGAAAAGGCACAGCAGAGCCUGGAUCUGGGCAGAGAGGCAGGACAGGCCGGGGCUG
rnacentral:lncRNA from 1 species